rnacentral:tRNA from 1 species
GUUUCCGUAUUGUAGCGGUCAUCACAUGCACUUUGCUCGCGCAAAAUCUCCAGUUCGACCCUGGGCAGAAGCA